rnacentral:rRNA from 1 species
CCUACGGGGGGCAGCAGUGAGGAAUAUUGGUCAAUGGGCGAGAGCCUGAACCAGCCAAGUCGCGUGAGGGAGUACUGCCCUAUUGGUUGUAAACCUCUUUUGUCGGGGAGCAAAAGCCGGACGUGUCCGGCUGUGAGAGUACCCGAAGAAAAAGCAUCGGCUAACUCCGUGCCAGCAGCCGCGGUAAUACGGAGGAUGCGAGCGUUAUCCGGAUUUAUUGGGGUGAAAGGGUGCGCAGGCGGAUUUUUAAGUCAGCGGUCAAAUCGUGGGGCUCAACCCCAUCCAGCCGUUGAAACUGGGGAUCUAGAGUGUGCGAGAGGUAUGCGGAAUGCGUGGUGUAGCGGUGAAAUGCAUAGAUAUCACGCAGAACCCCGAUUGCGAAGGCAGCAUACCGGUGCACAACUGACGCUCAGGCACGAAAGCGUGGGUAUCGAACAGGAUUAGAUACCCGGGUAGUC